UACGUAGGGGGCUAGCGUUGUCCGGAUUUAUUGGGCGUAAAGAGCGUGUAGGCGGCCAGGUAGGUCUGCUGUGAAAACUCGAGGCUCAACCUCGAGACGUCGGCGGAAACCAUCUGGCUAGAGUCCGGAAGAGGAGAGUGGAAUUCCUGGUGUAGCGGUGAAAUGCGUAGAUAUCGGGAGGAACACCUGUGGCGAAGGCGGCCCCCUGGUUGGAUACUGACGCUGAUACGCGAAAGCGUGGGGAGCAAACAGG
rnacentral:rRNA from 1 species